rnacentral:rRNA from 1 species
CCCUUAGAUGUUCUGGGCCGCACACGCGCUACACUGGCAGGUUCAUCGAGCUUCAUGCCCUGAUCUGAGAAGAACGGGAAAUCUUUGAACACCUGCCGUGCUUGGGAUAGAUGUUUGCAAUUAUUCAUCUUCAACGAGGAUUGCCUUGUAAGCGCACGUCAUCAGCGUGCAUUGAAUACGACCCUGUAUUCUGUACACACCGCCCGUCGCUCCUACCGAUUGAAGUUUUCGGUGAAUUUACUGGAGAUCCCUUUUGAAGGUGGUUCGCCACUGGAAGAAGUAUUCAAAAGUAAAUGAAUCGAAUGCUUUAGAGGAAGGUGAAGUCGUAACA